GGCACACUGUAAAAAAUUAUUUAGCAGUUUAGUUGUUUCAAUGAAUUUUUUUAUGUUGACACAACUUGCAGUUACUGAAUUUGUUCAUUCAACUAAAAAUUUUAAGUUUUCAGUGUCUCAACUAGUUUGAAAGUUGACUGAACUAGGUCAUUUGUCCUCAUAACUUAAAAAAAUUUGUUGACUCAAUUCAAUAGCAAUAUCACGUUCACAACAUCACUUAUCGCGAGAUCUCAUCAUUCUCCUGAAUGCUGUUGAAGAGAGAAGAAGGUCGUCAGCCAUUCUAGUCAGUUUCUCCUCAAAGUUUGGACAUUUGACUAGAAUACAACUUUGAUUCAGCGCAGAAUUCAAUAAUCCUGUGGAUGGACCGCAGCGAGUCCUUUUGCAGUUAUCCAUCAAAAAGAUAUGCAGACAUAAUGGAAAUGGCAUUUACAUUGUAGAGCUUGGACAAAGUUCACACAGGCUCUGCGCAGGAAUUCAUCAAGGACAUGACUGCUGGGAUUACGCUUGUGGAUGACCAAUCUGAGCACCAUCAGUCUGCAGUGAUAUGGUCCAGCCAUCCAGUGACAUUAAGGAUGUUGAGAAAGAAAUUGAAGAGGGCAUUCUGAUUGUAACUGAGGAACAGCAAUGUGAUGUGCUUCCCAAGGAAUAACCAACAUUGGUCUCAUUUGGACAUCCUGUCAUCACUGACAUCUCCCAUGUCCCCAAGGCAUUUAGACUCCUAAUGGGUCUGUAUGCAGUGAACAGCACUACCUCCAGCGCAUUAAAUACACCAUUGAGGCUCUGCAAAAACUUGUGAAGAUCAGCUGCUCCCACCAUGUGCUCGCUACAGCGGCAGGAACUGUAGGUGUGGGGGAGUGAAUGUCCAGUGCUCUCUCCACCCUCAACACCACAAAUAAGGUGUCCUUGAGCAAGGCACAACUUCUCCCCGGGUACUGCAGCAUAAAUGGCUGCCCACUGCUCUGGGUGUGUGUUCACGGUGUGUGUUCACUGCUGUGUGUGUGCACUUUGGAUGGGUUAAAUGAAGAGCACAAAUGUAUGUCAUGUCACUUUCACUUUUCAGUGUUCAUGAUGUGUCCAUCGGCUCCACCGCACUCUUUCUUAAAAAGUAGUGUUUUUUUUUUUUUUUUAAGGAAAGGUUCUUUUGUGCCUUUCACUAUAUAGAAUGUACAUUAAAGUUUACAUGUCAUGACUUGGAAUAUGCAUGUUCUCAUGUAAACAAAUGUUUUUUCACCUCUCAUUUUCUUAAACAGUAUGUACACAUUUUCAGUAUGUAGCAUUAUGAUGGGGGACGAGUUUGGAAACUUUCAAGAUCCUUCUGAUGUUAACACCUCUGUCUGGUCAUGUUGUGCUGUGAAAUUUAGAAUCUGACUUUAGAUUUUUGUGCUUCCAUGUGCAUUCAUUCCAUUUAUAUCUUAUUAUACAGAAGUACAGUACACUCAUUUUUUGUAACUAAUUGUGAUAUUAUAUACAUAUAUCUUGGUUUCUCAUUUUGACCAUGACUUGCAUUAUGGUGGGGGGAGUGCAUGUGAACUUGUCCAGGGUUAAUAUGCAGAGUUCAACCUUCUGAUUUUCAUAUUGAGUUAUGAAUUUAAAAACAAUCCCUGUGGUUUUGAUCUGAUGAAUUGAAAUGCAACUAUUUGUUUCUCAAUCCCAUGCCAAUGUUAUUUAUUAUACAUCACACUUUCAAGUGUCGGUUCAGAUCUUUAGACGUGUUUGUAUUUUGCAUUUUUUGUUUUGUUUAUCAAUUAUCAGUUGAUGUGUUGACAGCAAAUUGCUUGUUCAAUUUAAAUGUGAAUGAAAGUGUUGUCUCUAUCAUUAAAUAAUUACAUUAAAAAAAAGUGUUUUGUCAUCUUUAUUUAAACAUUUAAGGCAGUGGAGUAACAUUUGUUUAUGAUUAUUGAUCGAAGUAAAAAAAAAUCCCUGUUGACACAACAUGAUUUAGUUGACUGGACUAGAAAAUAAUAGUCAAGUCAACUUAAAGAAAUUUGUUACCUGGACUAACUCCACUCUAGUUUGAAGUUGUUUCAACAAGAUUUUUUUUGUCAAGAUAACAAAAAAAUUUUAGG